UCCUACCAAACAAAAGCAGCAACAACAACAAAAAUCCAGAAUUCAAUUUGUUAUAGAUUAAAAUGUUUUGGUCUCUCCUCAAUAAUUUGUUUCCUUUUGGUAGAUGGUUUAAUGUUUACUGAAAUGGUUCAUGGCAGGAAUUAGAGGGACAAAGAGAAGACAAGAACACAAAAGAAAGAAGAAAUCUGAGAGUGAACAGAUUGAUUACUGACCACUGAACUUGACCAAGUCUCUGGUAAUCUCUCUUAAGAGCUGGAAUUCAGCCCUAAGAAGACCUCUGUGUAACCAGAAUAGAUUCUGCACAUUCAGGUACUGAUGCUUAUAUAUUUAGAUCCCAAAGCAAUAUUCCCUAUUGAUACUAUCCAAAGCAGAUUUAUUUUUAAUGUAGAUGUUACAUCAUACUUAUUUAUAUGGGUUUCCAAUCAUUUGUACAGUGGAGGCAAUGAACCCAAAGUUUGCUUUGACAUAUGAACAUCAGUGCAAAUUGAUCAUUGAUAAGUUGAUAGUAUGGAAGGAGACAAAAAUUAAAAAUAUAAAAAUUUGCCAAAGUAAAAAAGAAAAUCCAGUGGCUUGGGGCUAUUUUAUAUGAGAGUGAAUCAGAGAAUGAUUUUGUUAUUUUUUUUGUAUCCCCACAUAAUACUUGAUAGUUUAAAGAUGACUCCAAACCAUCAAGAAAAAGUCAAAUACAUCGAAUAUAUCUUAUUUGAGACCUAAGGGAACUAUUUAACAUAUGAGAAAGGAUUUUCAUCAAGUUCUUACAUUAACAAGUCUUCAGUUAUUGGAAAAAUUGACUUCUGUUGAAUACUUUAUUCCGCAAACUAUCAAUAAAGAAAAUACUGUGUGUUUAAAACAAAACAAAAUGGAGGAACCUAAGUGAAUUUAGGAAUCUACUGAGAGUACUAGGGACUCUGCUUUUCUGAGAAAAUUGACUUGCAACCUCGGCAUUCAGCUGGGGCUGCACAAUGGACGCCAACUUCAGUACAAAGCAGGAUCUCGCAGACAUUCUGUUGCCCUGACUGCCGGCAGAGAGCCAUCACAAGCUUCGGUGCAGCCCCAAGGGGCGCAUAUAUUAAAGAAAAAACAAGAGCCAUGCUCCAAAAUGGCUUAUUUAAAAUGCAAAGGGUAACAAGAGAGCUACAUUUGGGGAAAGCCCAGCUCUCAGAAAAAGGAAAGUAAUACCAAAUCUUGGUUAAAGUUGCUUGCUCUUGAACUAAUUAGCUGGGGAUUGAAUUCAGCAUGAGAAGUCAGAAUGUGGGUUAAGAGUGAAGGAAAGUGUUAUUUUUCCUCUUAGGUACCAGCCUGGCAUGUCAGAAUGUAGUAGCAGGCAGCACAUGAAACUCAGCCAAUUCGACGAAGUCACAAAUUUAUAAAAAACACCAUGACUGAUUGAAAAGGGGUUGCGGAGAUAUAAUUUGGGCCAGAUGUGUGAUAAAAGGCAGUUUUAUCUACUUUGGUGGUAGCCUUUUUUUUGUAAUAAUAUAUUGGCACAUUUGUCAUUAAAGAAAAAUAAAGAGGAAUGAAUAAUACAGGAUCCAGUAGAACAGUAAAUAAUAUGUUCCCCCUCUUUUGAAAUCCUAUUCCUACCUAGCAUUGAUAUGCUAUUGUUUUCUUUCAAAUCUCUUUUCUUGUUUUUCUAAGAUGGGAGGUUUGUGGGAAAAUUAUACAUAAAAGAAGGAAGCCAAGAUCGUUUGCUGUUAUUUUACUUGUGAACCAUUUAGAAAAGGAUAGAACUUAUAAUAAAGUCAUAUUUCCUGUGGAUGGCAUCCCUCAAAGGAUAUGAGUCCUUGACAGAACAUGUCUGUGUGGAACAAGAUUUGACUUCUUAACAGGCCUGUGCUAGAUUCAAAAUGUUCAUGCUUAAUUAGCUGUGUAAACAAAUUUGGAAUUUAGAGAAUUUUUUUAUGUCAAGGGGAAGUGAAGGUUUAUUACCUCUCUUUCCUCAAAUCCAAUGCACCUACACUUCCUGGAUUGGAUGCUAUUCCCAUGGUAUUCCCUGACUCCUGUACUGUGCAUUCCAUGGGAAUUCUGCAGCUGGCUUCCGGAUUGAGAAGCAGGAGUAGACCAUUUCAGAGACAGAGUGACACUGCCCAAGAAAUACAGGGCACAUUUCAGCCGAAGGCACCCAGCUCUUCUGGUGUUGCCCUGCCAAAGCUCAACAGUUAUGUAAGCUUCCUGUGCCCAAGUUCUCUGCCAAACUUGGGGAUUCUGCAAAUUUCUCGUUAGUCCAUAGCAGAAUGAAAGGUGUGGCAGGUAGAGAUGGUGCCAAAUCAAGGGUUAGGAGAGAAUUUGACUAAUUGGGUGUGGGCAUCCAUCAGCAGAGAGCACUCACCUCAGAAUGGAUCAGGAAUCCUCAGAGAAGCCAGGCAGGCACAUCGCGGGUCACCCUCAGGCGGCUUUAUCUUCUCUGACUGACACUUAAAUGGCAGAGCUCAUUUGAUGCUGUUCCAGGCUCACUGCUGGGUGUUUCUAAUCAUGUGUUUUAAUUAAUGUUUUUAUUGUACUUGGGCCCAGAGGCUGUUUCAACAGACCAGCAUAUAUUUAGAAGUCUCUGAAUAAAUAAAUGUAAAACAAAGGAAAACUGACUCUGUUGGAAUUAGGAGGAUUGUUUCUAAAAAGAUAGGCUGAGGCUUCAGACUUGACUGCUUCAAACUAACUCAGCAAUAUCAGGGCCUGUCUCCCAAACACACUGGGUGUAGAAAAGCUUGACUUCAGGAUCUUAUCUAGAGUUUAACUUUCUCGAAAACUAUGCUCUGGGUCUUGAGGCAGUUGGGGACACUAGAAUUUAUUGUGUUGAUUUUGACUUAAAAUAAAUUUAAAAAACAAAUAGUAGGAAUACAGGGAUGGCAGUAGUAGCAAAUUUCUGAAGCAACAUUUAUUUAAAGCCAGGUAGAUCUCUUUCUAUUGCUAGUUAAAAGGGAUAAUUGAAUGGGUUAGUUUCUUUGCCACCCCCCCCCACCAUUGUUUUCUUGAAUUUGAACCUUCUCCUUUUUAAAAGGAGCUUAUAUCUCUUCCCCCAUUCGAGGCAGUAGCACUUUUAGAGAAUGGAUAUAAUUCUGUUUAGCAAAUAUUUACUGAGCACCUCUUCAUUCAAGGCAGGAGCUUGACUAUGGGAAAAAGAGUGUUUACAGGUUGUAGGAAGUAUAUUUAUAAGGUACAGAUUGCUUUUGGAAUAUGUGCUGUGUUCCCUGUGGAUGAAAGCAUACUCUGUGUCUUCUUAUCAGGAUCUAUUAUUAGUUAAAUUCUCUGGUUGUGAUUUCCUUUGGGUCCUUGAGAGUUUGUGAAAGUUACUAAGAGCUGUAAAGACUGGAGUGUCAGCAAAUUGCCUGGCACUAGUAAGGAGAGCUGAUCCUGGGCAGGACAGUAAAAUUCUGAAAUUGGGUUUUCUGCUAUCAUUUUUUUGUUUGUCUCUGGUGACACUCAUUUUUUCCCUUUUCUCCAUUUCCUUCAAGGUGCCCUAAUGUAUCUGUUCUGGAUUCUGCCUGUAUAGAGCAUAAACAACACUGAUGAUAGGUCUCACGCCGAAACCAAUGAAAAGUGUUCAGUGAUUCUGUACUGCAGCUGAGGUUGAGGUUGGGCUGCUUUCUGAGCACCCCCAGUGCUCCUCCACCACGUGCAAUUGGGCAACCUUGUUCUCAGGAGAGUACCUGCUUCAGUUACCCUAAAUCCUUGAUAAGAUGUCACCAGUUCCAAGAUGUUCUACAGAUUUAAUAACAGACUUUUUUACUAAAAUAAAUAAAUAAAUAGAAAGAAAGAAAAAAAAAAUACCACACUAGAUAAACCUUAUUUUUGGACCAUGGCAUGGUUUCAGAAAUAUCAAAAUGUGAAAAUCAUGUACAUUUGAGAAUAAGACCAUAUUACAUGAAAAUAAAAUUAACCUAUACCUAUACUAUUGUGAGGGCAAUUUGCAUUGUAAAAGAGGAUAAUUUUGAAACCCAAAUAUUGCAUUUUAUUGAAAAGUUUUCAAACCAAGUGCUCUGCUAGGCAAGGGUUUCUUAAUCUGGGCACUCAGACAUUUUGGAUUGCAUAGUUGCUUGUUGCGGACAGCUGUACCGUGAAUUGUGAGACAUUUAGUAACCUCCCUGGCUGCUGCUCACUAGAUGCCAGUAACACUCACAUCUCCCUUGUCUCCCAACCUAGCUGUGACAACCAAAAACGUGUCCAGACAUUGUCAAGUGAUCCCUGGGCAGAAGAUAAAAAAGUAUCCCUGAUUCAGGACCAUAAGGACCAUGAGACUGGUGGAAUAGUUAUUGGAAGGGACUGCAGUUUAUAUCAUUUAGUGUUCUGUUGCAGAGGGCAGACUCCUCUCUAGCUGGCUUAAUCUGAAAUGUACUAAUGACACAGGGUUUUGAGUGGUCAGCACAAGUGAUCUGUGGGCUGGAGAAACAGAAAUCUAGGGUGGAGCUUUCAGGAAUGGAUCCUGAAAUGACACCACGUAUGAGCCAUCAAGGGAAUCUCUCUGGACACUGCAUGACCACGGAAUGGAGAGCAAUGGAGAGUAUCCAAUCCCACUAAACAAGGGAGCUAACAUGCCACCCGCAGCAGCAGAAGGAUCCCUCAUUCCUCAUGCCCUGUGUCUUUCCUUGCUGCGCUCUAUUCUGAAUGCAAGUUCUUAAAGUGUUUCUGGUGAAGGAGCUUAAAUCAACUGCAAUUGCAAGAAGUUUGGAAAAAAAAUAAUUUUUAGUUGACCAGCCUCUAUAAUAAACUCCAUAAAGAGGUUCAAACAAAUUUUGAAUGAGCCCACUUCUAGUAUUUUCUAUAGAGUUCUUCAGAAAUCCUCAACUCCCACCAAUAGACAACCACCUAUUCUGGGUGAUUGGGGUUGACCCAAAAGUAUCCUCUUCACUCUCCAUUUACAUAUUUUAUAUCUGGUUAUUUUUUCUCUUUUUCUAUUGCUCCAUUCUUUUCCCUGUUUUCUCUUUCAUUACCAUUCUUUUUGCACCUCCUCUCUCUCCCUGUCCCUAAUUACAGGUUUCCUAAGGAUUUGAAAAGUACAUAUUUUCUAUUUGACUCUGUCAAUGCAUACAACAUGUAAAAAGUCUUUGUUGAUAUGUGAGCUGAGCUUAGUAAACUCAACUGCCCCAACUUGUGGGUCUAGUCCCCUGAAGACACUAUGGAAAUCAAUAUUUUGGAUCUGAGAUUUGUAGCUUUGAACAAUAUUUUCUCCAUUUAUAAGAAUAGAGCACCAAUUAAUAUGAUUAAUUAUUAACUAUCACACUGGUUGGCUUGAAAUAAACAUUGAUCAGUAGCCUUAAUUCCAACCAAUAAGCCUUAAUUCCAAAGUAUAAUUUUUGUCUCUAGAAUAGAGGCCUUCAAAUUUUAAGAAGUGGUUGCUUACCUGCUAUAUUUUUGUUCAGUUGGCUGCUAUGCUCUCCAAAUUAUUAAUAUGGGGACUUUGACCCUAAGUUUAAAAUCAGUCAGUAACCUUGGAAAAGAUGAAAACAUCACAAGGCAUUUACUCUUUAGUGUAGGGCUGCCACGAGAAAUACAGGACAACUUAAAUUUGAGUUUCAAAUAAAUAAUGACUAAUUUUAAUAUAAUUUUUAGGAUAAGUAAGUCCCAAAUGUUACAUGGGACAUACAUUAAAAGAUUGUUGUUUAAUUGAAAUUCAAAUUUAAUUGCAUCUGAGUGUUUUGUAUUUAUUUUUGCUAAGUCUGGUGUGCAUGAAUGGAUUGUGUUCGUUCUUUCUUUCUUUCUAUUUGCACAGUCUGGGAAUUGAACCCAGGGCCUUGUGCAUACCAGGCAAGUGCUGUAACACUGAUAAGCGGCUAUAUCCCUAGCCCCUUAUUGAGUUAUUUUUAAAGAAUGUAUUUCUUGAGAUGGAGGAUGAAGAAAAUAUGAGGGCGAUGGACUCCUGAGAGAAAUAAAGAAGAGCAAGUUGGGUUAUGUACACAAAGGAAGAGGGGCAAGUAAAAAAAACAAAAAACAAAAAACAAAAAACAAAAAAACCCCCCAAAACCAACAUCAAACUGGUUCUAGCUUAUCAUUGUCCAUUUUCCAAAUGUGCAAAAUAAAACCCUGAUUUGAAGAUAAAGCUCUAUUCUUUCUCUGUUAAUGUGACCAUUCUCCUAUAGCAUUUGGAUCAGGUCCCAAC
rnacentral:lncRNA from 1 species